UUUUAUUUCUUACCUGUCUGGAGAAAUCCCGACGAGCCCCCAAAUUGUUAGGUUUUUGCUCCUAAUUCGUGCCUCAUCCCAGACCUCUUAUUUGGCAAUUGAAUGAGCAAUCACUCAGCGCUGAGGGAGAAUAUAGUCUCCUUUUAUUGAUAAGAAAAGAGAGAAUAUAUAGAAAGAGUACAAGGGGUGUAGUAUAGUUUCAGCCAAUGAGAAAGAGAAUACAUCAUAUAGAUCAUGUUAUAGGAAUGUGAUACAUAUAGAAAAACAAGUCUAAAUAUAGUCAUCUAUUGGUCAGGUACCCAUGAGGUCCCUUAGCAUCCCAAGGACCUUCUCCUAAGCAGGGACCAUUCCCUGUUUCACAUUUACUCCUAGUAGAGCCUUAUAUGGAAAUGGUUCUGGUACAUAGAAAACCAUAUGUUUAAAACAUAGUAUACAACUUUGACAGAGGAAAAAAAAAGGAGCCUCAGUCCACAUACUUUCAAUGCUGAGACCAACAUAAAAUCUAUCAAUUACUGUUUGUGUUUGUAAUAUGUAAUAUUUUUGUGCUUAUCUGUUGUUUUAUAUAUUCAUUUUGUAGGAUCAGUACAGAUUUGUUAUUGGAGAUACAGUGCAAGCUGUGUGGAAUCAAAGACCUGUAUUGAUGAGGCCAGUGUCAGUGAAGAUGGUGUGGUCACUGGAAUCCUGGUGUUUGUGGGAAAUGUGAAGGAGCUUCUCCCAGGAUUCUACAACAGUGUUGUCCUGAUGACUGAGGUAUUUAUUUUUUUUACUUUCUUGCCUCUUUGGAACAUGUUCAUUUAUGCAUACUGUGUAGAGGUGGUUCGCAGCUUCAUGGACA